GACGAACGCUGGCGGCGUGCCUAAUACAUGCAAGUCGAACGCAGUGGGGACGGUUGAGUAACACGUGGCUAACCUCCCAUCAGAGGGGAUACCACUUGGAAACAGGUGCUAAACCGCUACUGAUGUAUGGACCCGCUGGGCAUUAGCUAGUUGGUGAGGUAACGGCUCACCAAGGCCACGAUGCAUAGGCGGCCUGAGAGGGUGAUCGGCCACACUGGGACUGAGACACGGACCAGACUCCUACGGGAGGCAGCAGUAGGGAAUCUGCGGCAAUGGACGAAAGUCUGACCGAGCAACGCCGCGUGAGUGAAGAAGGUUUUCGGAUCGUAAAGCUCUGUUGUCAGAGAAGCGGUAUCUAACCAGAAAGCAACGGCUAACUACGUGCCAGCAGCCGCGGUAAUAC
rnacentral:rRNA from 1 species